rnacentral:rRNA from 2 species
CAACACCCGAAGUCGGUGAGGUAACCGCAAGGGGCCAGCCGCCGAAGGUGGGGUAGAUGAUUGGGGUGAAGUCGUAACAAGGUAGCCGUAUCGGAAGGUGCGGCUGGAUCACCUCCUUUCUAUGGAG